rnacentral:lncRNA from 1 species
AUUUAUUUAUUUUACCUCAUUUUGAGUUUAAAGGGUAAAAUAGUCAUUUUGCUCAAAUUCUGUUAAGUUCUUAACGGUAGUAAAUAGAAAGGUCGACGCCAGAACUCUUUUGUCAACGUAGGGCAUACGAGUGAUAUAAGCGAAAAGUGUUGUAGCACGUUUGAUAUACUGGUGUCAUUUAAAGGUAUAUGAUUGAUAAUUUUCCUUUUUAAAUUUAUAAAUUUAAAAAAUGACUCUCAAAACACAAUCCCCAUACAUCCAAUUGGAUUCCUCAUAAUGAGUAUCCAAUGAAUGCCGAGACAAAACUCUGUCAAGAACUCACGUAAAUGCUCUAGCUACAACUCACAAAGUUGGGGAUGCCUUAGCUAUCAAACCGAGAACUCUAUUCACAAUGUAAUUAUAAGAUGCAAGCCUUUCAAAAUCAACAAUUUCGGCAUAAAAUCCUCCGAGAUGGCCGCCAUUUCUAUGUGCAAAUCUUGACAAAUGAGGCGUGAAGCCAUCAUUCCAUAAUGCCAAAGGCCCUAUGUGAAUCCAUUGUUAAUUUGCAACCACCUCACUGCAUGGAUGGUGGCUUUUGUACUUGCAUGCAUUAGAGCCGUGUAAAGUUUGUCAACCAAAUUAUCAAUGUGUAUUAAAAAAAAUUUCCAUGGCUUCCAAUUUCAACAUUCACCACGUAUAAAUGCAUUCCCACCGCUUAGUUAAGUAUUUUUUCCAACAAAACUAAGUAAAUAUAGACAACCGAAAACAAAGUUACUAGAGUUUUAUACUGCGUUUACUAAACUAAAAUCAGAAUGGACAGAAAUGGGAAUGAGCUGGAAUGAGAAUAGGGAAUGAGAAUAAAAAUAAGUUGUCUUGAAUCGGAAUCGGAAUGAGUUAGAUUGUAACAAAUUACUAAAAAGUACUUAAU